rnacentral:rRNA from 1 species
CAGUUGGGCUAUGAUGAUCCGCCACACUGGGACUGAGACACGGCCCAGACUCCUACGGGAGGCAGCAGUGGGGAAUAUUGGACAAUGGGGGGAACCCUGAUCCAGCCAUGCCGCGUGUGUGAAGAAGGCCUUAUGGUUGUAAAGCACUUUAAGCGAGGAGGAGGCUACUGAGACUAAUACUCUUGGAUAGUGGACGUUACUCGCAGAAUAAGCACCGGCUAACUCUGUGCCAGCAGCCGCGGUAAUACAGAGGGUGCGAGCGUUAAUCGGAUUUACUGGGCGUAAAGCGUGCGUAGGCGGCUUUUUAAGUCGGAUGUGAAAUCCCCGAGCUUAACUUGGGAAUUGCAUUCGAUACUGGGAAGCUAGAGUAUGGGAGAGGAUGGUAGAAUUCCAGGUGUAGCGGUGAAAUGCGUAGAGAUCUGGAGGAAUACCGAUGGCGAAGGCAGCCAUCUGGCCUAAUACUGACGCUGAGGUACGAAAGCAUGGGGAGCAAACAGGAUUAGAUACCCUGGUAGUCCAUGCCGUAAACGAUGUCUACUAGCCGUUGGGGCCUUUGAGGCUUUAGUGGCGCAGCUAACGCGAUAAGUAGACCGCCUGGGGAGUACGGUCGCAAGACUAAAACUCAAAUGAAUUGACGGGGGCCCGCACAAGCGGUGGAGCAUGUGGUUUAAUUCGAUGCAAACGCGAAGAACCUUACCCUGGCUUGACAUACUAGAAAACUUCCAGAGAUGGAAUUGGUGCCUUCGGAAUCUAGAUACAGGUGCUGCAUGCUGUCGUCAGCUCGUGUCGUGAGAUGUUGGGUUAAGUCCGAGAACGCACCCUUUUCUUACUUGCAGCUUCGAUGGACUUAGGAUACCUGCGUGACAACUGAGAGCGGGCAAUUCAG